UGUUAACCACUCUUCUCAUACAUGAAAUUGAUUCUUGCAUGAAUUUCUUUCAUGCCCAGAAGUACUUUGUCACCUCUUCUCUGGUUCCAUUUGGAUGAGGAUAAAUUUGGUUAAUCAUUUGAAUUCAAAGGGUUUGAAUUUGAUUUGAAAACAACCUAAAACUUAUCCUUAUCCUUACCUUGGUGCCACCACCUUUGAAAGGC
rnacentral:lncRNA from 1 species